rnacentral:rRNA from 1 species
AGUGAACGCUGGCGGUAGGCCUAACACAUGCAAGUCGAACGGCAGCACAGUAAGAGCUUGCUCUUACGGGUGGCGAGUGGCGGACGGGUGAGGAAUACAUCGGAAUCUACUUUUUCGUGGGGGAUAACGUAGGGAAACUUACGCUAAUACCGCAUACGACCUACGGGUGAAAGCAGGGGAUCUUCGGACCUUGCGCGAUUGAAUGAGCCGAUGUCGGAUUAGCUAGUUGGCGGGGUAAAGGCCCACCAAGGCGACGAUCCGUAGCUGGUCUGAGAGGAUGAUCAGCCACACUGGAACUGAGACACGGUCCAGACUCCUACGGGAGGCAGCGGUGGGGAAUAUUGGACAAUGGGCGCAAGCCUGAUCCAGCCAUACCGCGUGGGUGAAGAAGGCCUUCGGGUUGUAAAGCCCUUUUGUUGGGAAAGAAAAGCAGCAGGUUAAUACCCCGCUGUUCUGACGGUACCCAAAGAAUAAGCACCGGCUAACUUCGU